AGGGCGGUUAGCUUCAGUAAAUACCCACUGCAGGCACCUGAAAGAGGAAGUUGCUGAAGCUGACCACGGAGGCGCAGAUGACCACACCGGCCGCAAGCAGUGUAACCUCUCCACCCAGGGAAGUGGGGCAAACCUCAAACCAAAUACCGGGUUGCCAAGAACGGCCACAGAGCUACUGAAGGAUGUGAAAAGCAGCCUGAAUCACAGGAGCUGGUCAUGAUUACCUAACUCUGACUACAGAAUGACCAAUCGGCCAGCCUUGCCCCCCUUGGUGACCCUUCCUCUCUGCCCAUUGUUAACAACUUGGAAGAACUGCUGAGAGUGGCAAAUGGGUCAUUUUUUUUACCCCCUAAGACAGCCAUUCUAGGAGGACUGGAAGGCCAUCUAUAGCCACCAAACUCCAUCCUGAAAACUGCGUGCUGCGCAUUUUUGCCCUACAGUCUUCAUACCAACCACUUCUAGCAGCUGAUACCCUGCCAAGUGCAUCUGUACCAUGGUUUACCCAUGCAGAUGGUUCUCGGAAGGGAACUGAAGAUCUCAACAUUUCUGACUGGCUAUGCUCCUAGGUAACCAAACCUAUCACACAAAUACAAACGAUAAAGAUUUGCAUUUGAAGGGAGGUGGAAAAGGCUCAAUAACAAAGUAACCUUGUAUGAUGCAAUCUCUGAAAUAAAAAAUA